AGUAUAACCCUAUGUGGGCGGCACUUAAACAUCCAUUGGAUAUAUUGAUCAGUCGGAAAAUGAAUCGUAAUAGCGAUUGAGUUAUUACCCUGAUUGUGGCAGCACUUCGUGAAUUAGUGUGUUUAAUUGGAUUGUGACUACUGUAACGCCCCAAAAUCCGAAUGUUAAUAUUUGUCGUAUGUUCUUAUGUGACACGUCAUGAAAUAAAUAACUAGGCUAUUUAACCUAGUUAAGGGUAUGGUCAAAAGUAGUAAAUGAUGAGAGUAGUGUCAGUUAUGUUUUAAAGGUAAACCCGAGGGGCUAAAGUGGAACAAAUGAAAGUUAAGUUAUUAAAUAACUUAAUCACACACAAACACACACACAUACGUGUGUUCGAGAAAGAUCAGGAGGCUCCCAUGGAGCCUCAAACCCUAACUUCAUCUUUUUGCUAAAAUUGGAAGGCAAGAUGAAGUUUAAAGCCAUAACCGAGCAUGGAUUAAUGAUCACCAACACGAGGGGAUCAUAAGUAUAGGAAUCACGUCGAGACGGACUCAAGCAUGAGGUGUUAACGGGUCAAGAAGAGGCAAGGAAUCAGAUACGAGCACGGACGCAUAAGGUAAGUGAUUUCCGUAAUCACUUCUUAGUUCGAUUAAGUAAUAUGGUGUUUUAAUUAACUAAACACGAUGUUUGAGGUCAAAUAUGUGUUGUAGGCUUUCGUCGUAAUUGAUGGGAUUAAAGUUGACCAAAAUGCCCUUGAUGGGUAUUUUGGGCAAACGAUCUUAAAAGUAGUUUAGAAAUAAGUUAUUCGAGUAAUGUAAUGUUUUGGUCAAGUAUGAAAGUGGGAAGUAUGGUUUUGUUAGUCACAAGACCAAUUAAUGCUUGAAUACCCUUAACGGGUCAAAAUAAGCUUAUGAAUGAAAAUGGGUUAAGAGGACGCAAUACAUCCAAGAAUUUAGUCUUUUAUGAUAGACGUCACUGAUAUUAUUAGGUUCAUAAGGAAUUAUGGUAAAACAAACAAGUUAUGUUGAUGAAUGCAUGAACGGGUCAAUUCUUGGUAAAAAGGGUAGUAAGCCGAAGACUUAAAAGUCUGUAAUUUUGUUUAUCCGGAUGUCAGAUCUUAACUCCAUAAGAUGGAGAAUUAAAUUACGGACGCGUAGGAAAAAGAAUCGGGUAAAACGGACCAAUAACGAAGAAGUUAUGACUGUUUCUGUGAAACGCGGACGUGCUGGGAAUCUGCAGCAUAGCAACACAAACAUUCUGUUUGUUUUAGGGCGUCGCGCUGCGCGACGGUGUGUCUGUUUGGCGAAAAAUGUUCGUUUGCUCCGUUUUGUAUCGGGAACUCGUUUAAAUGCAUUUUAAGUUGCGUACGACUAAUUUAACUUACGUUUUUAUAAGCUUAAGUGUAUGAACAUGUGUAGAUAGGUAUGUAUGUAUGUUUAUAAGUACGUGAGCAAAUACGUGGAUAUAUGACGGUAUGUACGAGAGUAGACAUGUAUGAGUUUGAAAGGUAUGCAAGUAGGGAUGUAUGUAUGUAUAUAUGUAUAAUUUCACGAGUGUGCGUGAUGAUGUAGAUAUGGGUGUAUGUAGAUAUGCAUGUAUUAACGUAGUUGUGUUUAUAUGUGGUUAAGGGAUGUAUGUAUGUAUGUAUAAUGUCACGAGUGUGCAUGAUGAUGUAGAUAUGGGUGUAUGUAGAUAUGCAUGUAUUAACGUAGUUGUGUUUAUAUGUGGGUAUGUAUUUAUGUACGUAAUUGACUAUGUGUGAACAUAAGAAAAAGUAUAAGUUUGUAUGAAGGUUGGUACGCAUGUGGUCAAUGAAAUUGAGUACUAAUGAUAUUAAUAGCGUGUUAUAUGAAUGAAGUGUAAUGCAGGAAUAGCAAGGAAGCCUCACCAUGGAUUUUAUAAUUAGAUGGAAAGCCGGGAUGUAAAAUAGUUAACGGAACGGAAAGUGAACGUGAAUAGAUCUUGUAUGUUAUAAUGCGUACUAACGUUAUAAAUUUUAAUGUGGUGAGCGCAGGUUGUACGAGUCGUGAGGAUCUUCAAGGAUUAGAGAUCCAGGAUCGAGUCACUAGACAGAUUGUACGGGAACGUUGGUGUUGAAAUUUAGAAAACUCAUGUCAUGUAUCUAAUUGUAAAUGAGUUGGUUGAUGACUUCAUGUGAAAAAGUUGUGUAGUAAUGAAGUUUUAAGUAAGUCAAGGUAAUUAUAAGGAAAGAAAUUUUAGGGUA